GAUACUAAGCCAUGCGAGUCAUUGUAGCAAUACAAGGCAUACGGCUCAGUAACGCGUAGUCAACCUAACCUAUGGACGGGAAUAACCUCGGGAAACUGAGAAUAAUGCCCGAUAGAACAUUAUGCCUGGAAUGGUUUAUGUUCCAAAUGAUUUAUCGCCGUAGGAUGGGACUGCGGCCUAUCAGUUUGUUGGUGAGGUAAUGGCCCACCAAGACUAUUACAGGUACGGGCUCUGAGAGGAGUAGCCCGGAGAUGGGUACUGAGACACGGACCCAGGUCCUAUGGGGCGCAGCAGGCGAGAAAACUUUGCAAUGUGCGAAAGCACGACAAGGUUAAUCCGAGUGGUUUCUGCUAAAGAAACCUUUUGUCAGUCCUAGAAACACUGAUGAAUAAGGGGUGGGCAAGUUCUGGUGUCAGCCGCCGCGGUAAAACCAGCACCUCAAGUGGUCAGGAUGAUUAUUGGGCCUAAAGCAUCCGUAGCCGGCUCUGUAAGUUUUCGGUUAAAUCUGUACGCUCAACGUACAGGCUGCCGGGAAUACUGCAGAGCUAGGGAGUGGGAGAGGUAGACGGUACUCGGUAGGAAGGGGUAAAAUCCUUUGAUCUAUUGAUGACCACCUGUGGCGAAGGCGGUCUACCAGAACACGUCCGACGGUGAGGGAUGAAAGCUGGGGGAGCAAACCGGAUUAGAUACCCGGGUAGUCCCAGCUGUAAACUAUGCAAACUCAGUGAUGCAUUGGCUUGUGGCCAAUGCAGUGCUGCAGGGAAGCCGUUAA
rnacentral:rRNA from 1 species